AGCAUGUUAGCUCAGGGGAAGAGCGGUAAUUUUUCACGUGACCUGCCAUAUUUGACCAAUAGCUAACGUUUCACAGCCGGGCUCAUAACCCGGAGGUACGAUUUCACCUCACCAACCAAUCAUAGUACGAUUCCUAACAAACAAUAGGUCCCUGGAUCGAAACCAGGACAUGCUA
rnacentral:tRNA from 1 species